AUGCGGUAUCUUUCUGAACUCCCUCGGCCGUCCGAGCUUCCACAGUACCAUCUGGACUCCCCCAGCAGUUGACCUUCCACAGUAUCCUCCAGAUUCCUCCAACGGAUGAACUCCUAUCGUGCCAUCCGGACUUCUCCAAUAAUGAUCUCCUUCAUUCAUCUAUCGGAUCGCUCCAAAUGCUCUCUGGGCUUCACUAUCAGUCGAUUUUCUACAGUGAUCGACUACUCUCCGAAUC
rnacentral:lncRNA from 1 species